ensembl:lncRNA
GGAGAAAGUUUUCCAACUGUGGAAUUGAGUUUGUUGAGAAUGACACUGCUGGAAAUAAAGAAUUUUUGUAUUUGAUGUGGAUGUUGGUGUUUGAUGGAGAUACUGAGGAGAAUGUUGGGGUUAGAUGGAGCUGCUGAGGAGAAUGUUGGGCUUUGAUGGAGAUGCUGAGGAGAAUGUUGGUGUUUGAUGGAGAUGCUGAGCAGAAUGUUGGGGUUUGAUGGAGAUACUGAGGAAAAUGUUCGUGUUUGAUGGAGAUACUGAGGAAAAUGUUGGUGUUUGAUGGAGAUGCUGAGGAGAAUGUUGGAGUUUGAUUGAGAUGCUGAGGAGAAUGUUGGGGUUAGAUGGAGCUGCUGAGGAGAAUGUUGGUGUUUGAUGGAGCUGCUGAGGAGAAUGUUGGUGUUUGAUGGAGCUGCUGAGGAGAAUGUUGGGGUUUGAUGUAGAUGCUGAGGAGAAUGUUGGGGUUUGAUGGAGAUAAUGAGGAAAAUGUUGGUGUUUGAUGGAGAUGCUGAGGAGAAUGUUGGGGUUUGAUGGAGAUACUGAGAAGAAUGUUGGGGUUAGAUGGAGAUGCUGAGGAGAAUGUUGGGGUUAGAUGGAGAUACUGAGGAGAAUGUUGGGGUUAGAUGGAGAUGCUGAGGAGAAUGUUGGUGUUUGAUGGAGAUGCUGAGGAGAAUGUUGGGGUUUGACGGAGCUGCUGAGGAGAAUGUUGGGUUUAGAUGGAGAUGUUGAGGAGAAUGUUGGUGUUAGAUGGAGAUGUUGAGGAGAAUGUUGGGGUUAGAUGCAGAUGCUGAGGAGAAUGUUGGGGUUUGAUGGAGAUGCUGAGGAGAAUGUUGGUGUUUGAUGGAGCUGCUGAGGAGAAUGUUGGGGUUAGAUGCAGAUGCUGAGCAGAAUGUUGGUGUUUGAUGGAGAUGCUGAGGAGGAUGUUGGUGUUUGAUGGAGCUGCUGAGGAGAAUGUAGGGGUUUGAUGGAGCUGCUGAGGAGAAUGCUGGGGUUUGAUGGAGAUGCUGAGGCGAAUGUUGGGUUUUGAUGGUAAAUGUUAGCAUUUCAUAGAGAAUGUUGGUGUUUGAUUGGGUCAACAUUGAUGUUGGUGUGUUAGUUUAGCAUUGGUGGUGUUGUAUGUCAGUUUAUGUGUGUCAGUGUUUGAUGGACAAUUAUGAAUGUUGGCGAUGGAGAGUAUUGCUGUUGGUGUGUGUUGGUGUUUAAUGGAGAAUUCUGAAUGUCAGGGUUUGAUGGAGGAUAUUAGUGUUUGAUGAAGAGAGCUGGUGUAUAUUGGUGUUUGAAGGAGAAUGCUGAAUGUCAGGGUUUGAUGGAGAAUCUUGGUGUUUCAUGAAGAGAACUGGUGUGUGUUAGCGUUUGAUGGAGAAUUAUGAAUGUCAGGGUUUGAUGGAGAAUGUUGGUGUUUGAUGAAGAGCAUUGGUGUGUGUUGGUGCUUGAUGGAGAAUGUUAAAUGUUCAGGUUUGGUGGUGAACGUUUAUGUUUGAUGAACGUUGGUAUCUGAAUGUGUAUGUGGGCUCCGAUGGAAGAUGUUGGUGUGUGGGUGUUUAAUGGAGAAUGUUUUGGAAUGUAUCUGAUAGAAAAUGCUGAGUGUGUUGUUGAUUUUGGUGUGUUUUACAUGAUCUUGGUGUUUGAUGGUGAAUUCUAGCUUUUGUUCAGGAAUGUUGGUGUUUGUCUGUUCUUG